rnacentral:rRNA from 1 species
UUUACCUACGGGGGGCAGCAGUGGGGGAUAUUGCACAAUGGGGGGAACCCUGAUGCAGCGACGCCGCGUGGGUGAAGAAGCGCCUCGGCGCGUAAAGCCCUGUCAGCAGGGAAGAAAAUGACGGUACCUGAAGAAGAAGCCCCGGCUAACUACGUGCCAGCAGCCGCGGUAAUACGUAGGGGGCAAGCGUUAUCCGGAUUUACUGGGUGUAAAGGGUGCGUAGACGGGAAAUUAAGUUAGUUGUGAAAUCCCUCGGCUUAACUGAGGAACUGCAACUAAAACUGAUUUUCUUGAGUACUGGAGAG